rnacentral:lncRNA from 1 species
CUGCUCCAUGGAAAAGAGAGCUCAUGUGUUCCACAUGCUUUGAAAAGAAACAAAACAAUAAAAGCAUAACUUGGAAUAAUUCAUAUGCUCUCCCUUCCCACCCAAAUCCUACAUGGGCAUGUGUGGAGGAUCUCGGAAACUUUCUUCCCCCCUCGACUCUGUGCCUUGGGUUUACAAGCCAUCCAAGGGUGCAACGGGUUUUACGUUGUCAAGUGUUGUGUAUGUGGGCUUUAGGGGAGAGAAGCACCAUUUUUAUUGUGUUUGCUAUGAAAAUAGCUGUUGAAAUAGCACGCCAACGUGUUUAUGAAUGGAGUUUCCUUUUGAGAUCCAGUCUUUUUUCUCCGCGGUAGAGUUGCCCAGGUCCCUCAGCCUUGCAAGGAGUCCCUAACAGAGAGACGUCUCAUAAUUCCAUGUCGUUAUGUAUCUAUUGGUUUCAUUCGUGGACGUCUUCUCAUAGACAGUGAAGCCCUACUGUUUAAAGCAAUUCACAAUCUGAUGGAGAAUAUGAGUGAGACAGUCCCUGAUACAGCAGAAGACCACCUACUGAAUGCAGGCAUAGUCGAGGGGGUUUUAUUUAUUUUAUUUAUUUUUAAAACUUUCUAUUGGAGUAGAGUUAUCUUACAAUGUUGUGUUAGUUUCGGGUGUACAGCAAAGUGGUGCAAUUAUAUAUGCAUAUAUCCAUUCUUUGCUCAGGUUCUUUUCCCAUAUAGGUGAUUACAGAAUAUUUUGUAUGUUUCCCUAUGCUGGACAGUAGGUCCUUCUUGUUUAUCUAUUUUAUAUACAGUAGUGUGCAUAUGCUAACCCUAACCUACUAUUUUAUCUCUCGCCUCCACGUUUCCCAUUUAGUAACCCUAAGUUUGAUUUCAAAAUCUGUGCAUCUGUCUUUGUUUUCUAAAUAACUUCUUUUGUAUCAUUUUUAUCAGAUUCCACCUGUAAGUGAUUUUUCAUGACACUUGUCUUUGGCUUACUUCUCUCAGUAUGAGAAUCUCUAGUUGCAUUCAUGUUGCUGCAGAUGGCAUUAUUUCGUUCUUUUUUAUGGCUGAGGCAUAGGUCACAAGUGUGGCUUGGAUCUGGUGCUGCCGUGGCUGUGGUGUAGGCUACAGCUCUGAAUUGACCCCUAGCCUGGGAACUUCCAUAUGCCAUGGGUGUGGCUCUAAAAAGAUUCAGAAACAAUUACAUUUAUUAAAAUGUAUUCAUUCCUUUCUUUUCUUCUUUUCUUUGCCUUCCUUUUCUUUUCUAUUUUUUUUUAUGGCCACACCCAAAGCAUCUGGAAAUUCCCAAGCCAGGGAUCCAAUCCAAGCUGCAGCUGCUGUCACGUAGACCACAGCCACUGCAACGCCCGAUCCUUCACCCACGGUACAGGGCUGGGGAUCAAAGCUGUACCUCUGCAGCAACCCGAGCAGCUGCGGUCAAAUCCUUAGCCCACUAAGCCCAAGCCACAGUGGGAACUCCUAUUCCAUUAUUUUAAAGUUUAACUUUUUGGACUGGUAGAUGCUUCUUGAUACUCUCUUAGCUAAAGAUCUUGAAAGAAGGGAAGUAGUAUAUCAGGGCAAAAGACAGACCACAGCUGACACAGGAAAAUGUGGACGUGGGAGAUGCCCACUGGGGGGUCAACUGGAGAUCUCCACGUUGAUUUGCAGAUGCGUCGUCGUAACCCCAAGUAGGUGCUGAGGGCAGCUGGGUGGAAGCUUUAUUAGCCUCCUAUAAAACCUUGGUCCCCUGGCCCAAGUGGAGGCCAUCAAGGGCUGUCAAGGGCUGUCAAAAGCCCUCAAGAGCCAAGCCAGAAAGCCCAGGACAAUACACUCAGAGGCAACGUCCCAGCUGGCCUGCAAAGCCAGGUGCCUGGCCUUGACUGGUUGAUUGGUUGCCCAUAUGGCCACCGGGGGGACCCUGGAGGCUUCACGUCGGUCCAUGGGGACGCCCAGACGCAGGGCGUCCCCCCCAUGCACCCCCAGGUGUCAGCAAGGAAGGAUCACAGAGGCAGAACGGCCACUCCAGGACUCAGAUUUCCUUCCGCACGUGGCAGGGAUUCAGGCUCCGUGGCCACGGCUGUCCGCCACAGAAGCCAGCCAGAGAAAUCAUGCAGGGGACAGACAGAUGGGCGGGGAGAAAAGGAAACCACGCAAUUCCUUUGGCAAAGCGGGGGGCCCGGGCCGAAGAGUGAUGAAGACCCGGGAGGGACAGUUUUCAGGCUCGCAAAUGGUGGACGGUGGCUGCAAUGAAUGGAAUUCUCAUUAGUCUCCACGGCAAAGAGACCUCGCUGCGGUCUCCGCGCCCACGAAACAAACCAGGUGGCCAGGAUAAACAAAGCCGGAGGGGCCCGUCCAGGCUUGGCGAAGGGCUUUCCCACUCAGGGUGGAGCACAGGAAAGCUGGCACCUCUACCAAAAGCUCACCAAAGCCCCACCCACAUGCCUACAGCAGAAAUCGCACAACAGGCCAAAGUGCCAGACACACACUGGCUGGAUGGGAAACGGGAUGAAUUAUGCUCCUAGGCAGUUGGGACUCUGUGGGAUUUUUAUGUUAUUUUUCGGCGCCUGUAUCCAUGGGAACAUGAAGAAAGGGUCAGGCAGAACCACUACUACGGCCAGACGUUUGAGAAAAUCCCCCAUGACCGUUUUCUUAUCUCACGACGGGAGGAAAACGAUAUAUACUAACGGAAGCCACAGAUACCGGGGAGGAUGCAAACAGGAUCGUGCAACAGGAGUCCCCUGGUGACCUGGAGGUUAGGGAUCUGGUGUCGUCACUGCUGAGGCUUGGGUUGCUGCUGUGGCAUAGGUUCAGUGCUUCGCCCAGGAACUUUCACAGGAUGCAGGUGUGGCCGAAAAAAAAAAUUUUUUUUUAAAUAGUCAUACAGGGGAGUUCCCUUUGUGGCUCAGCAGUUAAUGAUUCUGACUACAAUCCAUGAGGAUGAAGGUUUGAUCCCUGACCUCACUCAGUGGGUUAGAGAUCCGGCGUUGCUGUGAGGUGUGGUGUCGGUUGCAGACGUGGCUCAGAUCUGGUGUUGCUGUGUCUGUGCUGUAGGCCAGCAGCUGCAGCUCUGAUUGGAAACCUUAGCCUGGGAUCUUCCCUACGCUGUAGGUGCGGC